rnacentral:rRNA from 1 species
UACGUAGGGUGCGAGCGUUGUCCGGAAUUACUGGGCGUAAAGAGCUCGUAGGUGGUUUGUCGCGUUGUCCGUGAAAACUCACAGCUCAACUGUGGGCGUGCGGGCGGUACGGGCAGACUGGAGUACUGCAGGGGAGACUGGAAUUCCUGGUGUAGCGGUGAAAUGCGCAGAUAUCAGGAAGAACACCCGUGGCUAAGGCGGCUCUCUAGUACGGUACUGACGCUGAGACGCGAAAGCGUGGGGAGCGAACAGG